CCUGGAUGAACUUGUCCUCCGCAGAGUGCCGCUGCUGCUCUCUGAAGAGACGCGGUG
rnacentral:sRNA from 2 species